rnacentral:miRNA from 1 species
UAAGACUUUUUUGGUUCGCUAUG